rnacentral:rRNA from 1 species
CCUACGGGUGGCAGCAGUGGGGAAUAUUGCACAAUGGGGGAAACCCUGAUGCAGCGACGCCGCGUGAGUGAGGAAGUAUUUCGGUAUGUAAAGCUCUAUCAGCAGGGAAGAAAAUGACGGUACCUGACUAAGAAGCACCGGCUAACUACGUGCCAGCAGCCGCGGUAAUACGUAGGGGGCAAGCGUUAUCCGGAUUUACUGGGUGUAAAGGGGGCGUAGACGGUUAAUCAAGUCAGAAGUGAAAACCCAGGGCUCAACCUUGGGACUGCUUUUGAAACUGAGGAGCUAGAGUGCAGGAGAGGUAAGCGGAAUUCCUAGUGUAGCGGUGAAAUGCGUAGAUAUUAGGAGGAACACCAGUGGCGAAGGCGGCUUGCUGGGUCAAUACUGACAUUGAGGCACGAAAGCGUGGGGAGCAAACAGGAUUAGAUACCCCUGUAGUC